rnacentral:rRNA from 1 species
UACGGAGGAUGCGAGCGUUAUCCGGAUUUAUUGGGUUUAAAGGGUGCGUAGGCGGGCUUUUAAGUCAGCGGUAAAAAUUCGGGGCACAACCCCGUCCGGCCGUUGAAACUGGGGGCCUUGAGUGGGCGAGAAGAAGGCGGAAUGCGUGGUGUAGCGGUGAAAUGCAUAGAUAUCACGCAGAACCCCGAUUGCGAAGGCAGCCUUCCGGCGCCCUACUGACGCUGAGGCACGAAAGUGCGGGGAUCGAACAGG